rnacentral:rRNA from 1 species
UGGGGAAUAUUGGGCAAUGGGGGAAACCCUGACCCAGCAACGCCGCGUGAGGGAAGAAGGCUUUCGGGUCGUAAACCUCUGUCCCAUGGGAAGAGCAGAAGACGGUACCAUGGGAGGAAGCCCCGGCUAACUACGUGCCAGCAGCCGCGGUAAUACGUAGGGGGCGAGCGUUGUCCGGAAUGACUGGGCGUAAAGGGCGCGUAGGUGGCCUUUCAAGUCUGGAGUGAAAGUCCCGCUUUCAAGGUGGGAAUGGCUUUGGAAACUGGAAGGCUUGAGUGUGGGAGAGGAUAGCGGAAUUCCCGGUGUAGCGGUGAAAUGCGUAGAGAUCGGGAGGAACACCAGUGGCGAAGGCGGCUAUCUGGACCAAGACUGACACUGAAGCGCGAAAGCGUGGGUAGCAAACA